GACGAACGCUGGCGGCGCGCCUAACACAUGCAAGUCGAACGAGCAAAGAGGAGCUUGCUUCUCUGAGCGAGUGGCGAACGGGUGAGUAACGCGUGAGGAACCUGCCUCAAAGAGGGGGACAACAGUUGGAAACGACUGCUAAUACCGCAUAAGCCCACGGGUCGGCAUCGACCAGAGGGAAAAGGAGCAAUCCGCUUUGAGAUGGCCUCGCGUCCGAUUAGCUAGUUGGUGAGGUAAUGGCCCACCAAGGCGACGAUCGGUAGCCGGACUGAGAGGUUGAACGGCCACAUUGGGACUGAGACACGGCCCAGACUCCUACGGGAGGCAGCAGUGGGGAAUAUUGCACAAUGGGGGAAACCCUGAUGCAGCGACGCCGCGUGGAGGAAGAAGGUCUUCGGAUUGUAAACUCCUGUUGUUGAGGAAGAUAAUGACGGUACUCAACAAGGAAGUGACGGCUAACUACGUGCCAGCAGCCGCGGUAAAACGUAGGUCACAAGCGUUGUCCGGAAUUACUGGGUGUAAAGGGAGCGCAGGCGGGAAGACAAGUUGGAAGUGAAACCCAUGGGCUCAACCCAUGAACUGCUUUCAAAACUGUUUUUCUUGAGUAGUGCAGAGGUAGGCGGAAUUCCCGGUGUAGCGGUGGAAUGCGUAGAUAUCGGGAGGAACACCAGUGGCGAAGGCGGCCUACUGGGCACCAACUGACGCUGAGGCUCGAAAGUGUGGGUAGCAAACAGGAUUAGAUACCCUGGUAGUCCACACCGUAAACGAUGAUUACUAGGUGUUGGAGGAUUGACCCCUUCAGUGCCGCAGUUAACACAAUAAGUAAUCCACCUGGGGAGUACGACCGCAAGGUUGAAACUCAAAGGAAUUGACGGGGGCCCGCACAAGCAGUGGAGUAUGUGGUUUAAUUCGACGCAACGCGAAGAACCUUACCAAGUCUUGACAUCCUGCGACGGACAUAGAAAUAUGUCUUUCCUUCGGGACGCAGAGACAGGUGGUGCAUGGUUGUCGUCAGCUCGUGUCGUGAGAUGUUGGGUUAAGUCCCGCAACGAGCGCAACCCUUAUGGUCAGUUACUACGCAAGAGGACUCUGACCAGACUGCCGUUGACAAAACGGAGGAAGGUGGGGAUGACGUCAAAUCAUCAUGCCCUUUAUGACUUGGGCUACACACGUACUACAAUGGCGUUAAACAAAGAGAAGCAAGACCGCGAGGUGGAGCAAAACUCAGAAACAACGUCCCAGUUCGGACUGCAGGCUGCAAACUCGCCUGCACGAAAGUCGGAAUUGCUAGUAAUCGUGGAUCAGCAUGCCACGGUGAAUACGUUUCCCGGGCCU
rnacentral:rRNA from 1 species